rnacentral:rRNA from 1 species
UACGGAGGGGGCGAGCGUUUAUUCGGAAUUAUUGGGCGUAAAGGGCGCGUAGGCGGCUUGACAAGUCGAAGGUGAAAUCCCUCGGCUCAACUGAGGAACUGCCUUUGAAACUGUCAGGCUUGAGGCCGGGAGGGGGUAGCGGAAUUCCUAGUGUAGCGGUGAAAUGCGUAGAUAUUGGGAGGAACACCAGUGGCGAAGGCGGCUACCUGGACCGGUACUGACGCUGAUGCGCGAAAGCGUGGGUAGCAAACAGG